GUGGCAAGAAUGCUGGGAUAAGUGUGUUGGAAGCGAGGGGGAGUGUUUUGAGCAAGAUCAAUGGCAACAUGUCUUCUACUAUAAUAAUUUUUAAACAGCUGUAAUAAUUUUUUAAAUAUUCACUGUAUCUUUUGAUCACCCCUUGUAUUUGUUGUUACAGGAAGUGAUGUGAGGAGACUGACUUGAUAUUAGUGAUCUUUUAAGCUCCUAAUCAAAAAACAUUGUUAAACCACAGCUGAACAGCACCAACUCUCAGGAUUCUUAGCAGAGCCUUUCUGUGGCCAGCAGCAAGGAUGCCUUAUGGGCCUGAGCCUUGAUUUUCACUGAGUUUUCCCCAGAGACCUGCUGAGGACCCAGUCUCCUACAAAGAGCAAGAGCUGCAGCUCUAACAGAGUCCACCAUGGAACCACUGGUGCCCAUCUCUGAACAAUGAUCAGGAGGCCCGGAAACACUCUUCCUGUGUCCCCAUGGAUAUGGCGUUCUGCCUCCUGAGUAACCUGAUGAGUCUGUACCAGAGGCCAACAGUGACAGAAGCACAAGGCGACUUCCAGCUUGGCAAGGAAGGGAAACGGUGUGGAGAACACAGGCGAAUACUCAAAGCACAUAGUAAGCAUUUACUCCGCACAACCCAGGAAAGUGCAAGAAAAAAUCCUGCGAACGAACAUUCCCGACCCGCCAUCUGGCUCACCGCACCCCGUCCUGCCCAGAUCCCGGACCCUGACAGCAAAGCCGCACCCGGAAGAGGGAGACCCCGACUCCCGCUCCUACGGGGACCCCCAGCCGCCUACCCCCUGAGGGGUGGACCCCCGACUCCCGCCAAGGGAGAUCUUCCGCAGGAGGGUCCUCGAACCCUGCACCCCAGGGAAGGACUCCACCCUCGAUACCCUGCCCAGAGAAGGGGACCCAAAACGAUCUCCGCCCGAGAAGGGGACCCUGACCCUGAGGAAGGGACUUCGACCCUGAUCCCCGCCCCGAAGAGGGGACCCCGAC
ensembl:lncRNA